rnacentral:lncRNA from 7 species
AAUGAAUUCAGAAUUUCCUUAUCUUGAUAUGCUGGGAGAACAGGGAAACUACGUAAGACUUGCUUAGUGGGAAGCUCUGGCUGAUAACGUGAGAAAGAUGAAGCUAUAGUGGAGAUUACAGUAAAGAAGUAUAAGUAAUUAAGUUGUAAGGAAAAAUAUACCCCACUCUACUGAUGUAAAUUUGGAAUAUUUUGAGCAACACUGUUCUUCUGACACCUCUGCAAAGCCUUACAACGCACCUGCUAGAAUGAAGCUGGCACCAAGCCGCACAUACUGACAUGACCCUUUCCCAUUCACACCAGCCCGCAGGACAGGGUCGGCUGUGCAGCUGCAGAAGUCCUUUUCCAGCCAACGUGCCCACGUUGUGGCUUCUGCCACAGAACCACUGUCUCUGUGGAAAGAACAAUCAUCCUUGUUCAUGCUUUUGGAGAUGCUUCUUAAAUAUGUGUCAAAACCGAAUUGCUCAGGGGGGAACAUCUUUCAGGAAGGUGGCUUUAACUUCCAAGCACCAAUGACAUACUGAUGAUGUUAAAGCGCUGCGGGUUCCUGCCAUUGCCAAGUUCCAGCUUUCUUAAUGGCACGGUUAUGUAUUGUAUGGACAAAAAAAAUGUUUCCCAUCCUUCAGCCAAGAUUUUAAUAUAGAAAUGCUUUUGAUAUUUAUAGUUUGCUUUUGUGCAAUCACUGUUGUGUUUUGAAUGAAGGAGAGGGUGGUGAGUGAGAGUUCAGUGGCUGCUAAAUGGCCUCUGUUCAUUCCUCCCCUUAAAAAUAAUGUUAGAAAUGGAUUUUUAUAUACUGUAUUGAGAAAUAGGGAACUGUUGAGCACAAAUUACUCCCAAGUAUGAAAUGCCCAUUCUGUUUCAGUAGUCAGAAAGUAGGGGUAUGUGCUGUUGUCCCUCAUUAACAAGAGCCAGAGGGGCUGCAGAGAAACUUAAUGCUCUGGCUAAUUGCUAGAGUAAUGUCCUACAUGCUACUCAUUUUGCUUCCAGCAUGAACAUAUGCAUUCUGACUCUUUAUAUGAAAGCACAGCAAAGUGCAGAUGACACACCUCCACACUGAGGCCCAGCACAGGAAGAGCUCAUGCUUUUCAGCCAGAUUCUUUCUAGGUCACCAGUGCCUUGAAUGAAGAUGUCAGUAUCCUGCAUCUGUUCUCGUAUCUUGCCAGAUGUCUCAAGGUGAGAUAACAGGAUUCAUGCAGCUAAGGGAAAAAAAAAUUAUCUGUACUGUGUUUUUUUGUGAGUCAGCUAAAAAAAUAAAUAAAUAAACCAGGCCUCACUUG